rnacentral:lncRNA from 1 species
GUUAAAUCUUAGUUUGACUGGACUAAUGCUCCUCUCUCAAACAAUAAGUCAAGAUUGCCGUAACUUCUUUCAAUAUUUUUAAUGGCUUCUAUUAAUGUCUUUAAAGAUUUUCUAUUUGAUUUCUGUGAUAUUUGGAAAAAAAUAUGGUAAAAAUAAAAAAAUAAAAAUAUGUGGUAUGAUUGCCAAUCAGACAACUCCCCACAAGAGACCACGCAACACAGAUCAACAAUCAUAGGUCACUGUUUGGUCUUCAACAAUGAGAAAAGCCCAUACUAUCUAGCCAACUAUAAAAGGCCCUGAAAUGAAAAACAUGUUUUAUGAAUCAAUUUUAAAUUUUGAGGAUGAAAACAAAUUGUGGUAUGAUUCAAAAAUCCUGUGGUCAUCAAUUCCUUUGAUGGAUAUUAAGUGUGGACCUAAAUUAUUGUUUAGAAUUCAAAAAAAGUCUUUUUUUAAUGCCAGGAGGAAAACAAAUGCUAGCUGUGUCUGAGAAAGACAAUCUACAUAUUUUGAAAGAUGAUUGUGUAGCAAAGAGUAGAAAUGAUGUUUUAUAAAAUAGAUAUUGAAUCGCCUAUAAAAACAGCAAGCAGACAUGUUUUUUUUUUUUUUUAUUAAAGAGUAAUUACACACUCAAAUGUAUUUGUAACACAGUCACUGCUUUUGUUAAAUCAGUAUAUUACGGGUG